rnacentral:rRNA from 1 species
ACGAACGCUGGCGGCGUGCUUAACACAUGCAAGUCGAACGGAAAGGCCCCCUUGUGGGGUACUCGAGUGGCGAACGGGUGAGUAACACGUGAGUAACCUACCCUUGACUUUGGGAUAACUUCAGGAAACUGGGGCUAAUACCGGAUAGGAGCUCCUGCUGCAUGGUGGGGGUUGGAAAGUUUCGGCGGUUGGGAAUGGACUCGCGGCUUAUCAGCUUGUUGGUGGGGUAGUGGCUCACCAAGGCUUUGACGGGUAGCCGGCCUGAGGGGGUGACCGGCCACAUUGGGACUGAGAUACGGCCCAGACUCCUACGGGAGGCAGCAGUGGGGAAUAUUGCACAAUGGGCGGAAGCCUGAUGCAGCAACGCCGCGUGCGGGAUGACGGCCUUCGGGUUGUAAACCGCUUUCGCCUGUGACGAAGCGUGAGUGACGGUAAUGGGUAAAGAAGCACCGGCUAACUACGUG